CAUAAGCUUGGUCCUGACUUUACUUUCAGCUUUGAUAAAACUUAUACAUGCAAGUAUCCGCACCCCCGUGAGAAUGCCCUAGCUACACCACCCUAGGAAGAUAGGAGCCGGUAUCAGGCACAACACUGUUAGCCCACGACACCUUGCUUAGCCACACCCCCACGGGUAUUCAGCAGUAAUAGACAUUAAGCCAUGAGUGAAAGCUCGACUUAGUUAUAUCAAGAGGGCCGGUUAAACUCGUGCCAGCCACCGCGGUUAUACGAGAGGCCCAAGUUGAUAGAGAUCGGCAUAAAGCGUGGUUAAUAUAAAUAUAAACUAAAGCCGAACACCUUCAAAGCCGUUAUACGCACCCGAAGACAGGAAGACCCUUAACGAAAGUGGCUUUAAUCAAUAUGAACCCACGAAAGCUAGGACACAAACUGGGAUUAGAUACCCCACUAUGCCUAGCCCUAAACACAGAUAUUUUACCACACAAAUAUUCGCCAGGGAACAACGAGCCCCAGCUUAAAACCCAAAGGACUUGGCGGUGCUUUAGACCCCCCUAGAGGAGCCUGUUCUAGGACCGAUACUCCCCGUUCAACCUCACCCUCUCUUGUCUUCCCCGCCUAUAUACCGCCGUCGUCAGCUUACCCUGUGAAGGCCUAAUAGUAAGCAGAAUUGGUACAACCCAAAACGUCAGGUCGAGGUGUAGCGCACGAGAGGGGAAGAAAUGGGCUACAUUUACUGAGCCAGUAAACACGAAUGUUGCACUGAAACGAGCAUCUGAAGGAGGAUUUAGCAGUAAGGAGGGAAUAGAGCGCCCUCCUGAAAAUGGCCCUGAAGCGCGCACACACCGCCCGUCACUCUCCCCGAAAAACAUUAGACAAAUAAAUAAUAAUAAUUGCAAACACAAGGGGAGGCAAGUCGUAACAUGGUAAGUGUACCGGAAGGUGCACUUGGAAAAACC
rnacentral:ncRNA from 1 species